GCCAUCCUUUAAAGAAAGCGUAAUAGCUCACUGGUCUAGUGAUUUUGCGCGGAAAAUAUAACGGGGCUAAAGUAAGUACCGAAGCUGUAGACUUAGUUUACUAAGUGGUAGGAGAGCGUUCUAUUUGCGUCGAAGGUAUACCGGUAAGGAGUGCUGGAGCGAAUAGAAGUGAGCAUGCAGGCAUGAGUAGCGAUAAUUAAUGUGAGAAUCAUUAACGCCGUAAACCCAAGGUUUCCUACGCGAUGCUCGUCAUCGUAGGGUUAGUCGGGUCCUAAGUCGAGUCCGAAAGGGGUAGACGAUGGCAAAUUGGUUAAUAUUCCAAUACCAACAUUAGUGUGCGAUGGAAGGACGCUUAGGGCUAAGGGGGCUAGCGGAUGGAAGUGCUAGUCUAAGGUCGUAGGAGGUUAUACAGGCAAAUCCGUAUAACAAUACUCCGAGAACUGAAAGGCUUUUUGAAGUCUUCGGAUGGAUAGAAGAACCCCUGAUGCCGUCGAGCCAAGAAAAGUUUCUAAGUUUAGCUAAUGUUGCCCGUACCGUAAACCGACACAGGUGGGUGGGAUGAGUAUUCUAAGGCGCGUGGAAGAACUCUCUUUAAGGAACUCUGCAAAAUAGCACCGUAUCUUCGGUAUAAGGUGUGGUUAGCUUUGUAUUAGGAUUUACUCCGAAAGCAAGGAAACUUACAACAAAGAGUCCCUCCCGACUGUUUACCAAAAACACAGCACUCUGCUAACUCGUAAGAGGAUGUAUAGGGUGUGACGCCUGCCCGGUGCUCGAAGGUUAAUUGAUGGGGUUAGCAUUAGCGAAGCUCUUGAUCGAAGCCCGAGUAAACGGCGGCCGUAACUAUAACGGUCCUAAGGUAGCGAAAUUCCUUGUCGGUUAAAUACCGACCUGCAUGAAUGGCGUAACGAGAUGGGAGCUGUCUCAAAGAGGGAUCCAGUGAAAUUGUAGUGGAGGUGAAAAUUCCUCCUACCCGCGGCAAGACGGAAAGACCCCGUGGACCUUUACUACAGCUUGACACUGCUACUUGGAUAAGAAUGUGCAGGAUAGGUGGGAGGCUUUGAGUAUAUGACGCCAGUUGUAUAUGAGCCAUUGUUGAGAUACCACUCUUUCUUAUUUGGGUAGCUAACCAGCUUGAGUUAUCCUCAAGUGGGACAAUGUCUGGUGGGUAGUUUGACUGGGGCGGUCGCCUCCCAAAUAAUAACGGAGGCUUACAAAGGUUGGCUCAGAACGGUUGGAAAUCGUUCGUAGAGUAUAAAGGUAUAAGCCAGCUUAACUGCAAGACAUACAAGUCAAGCAGAGACGAAAGUCGGUCUUAGUGAUCCGGUGGUUCUGUGUGGAAGGGCCAUCGCUCAAAGGAUAAAAGGUACCCCGGGGAUAACAGGCUGAUCUCCCCCAAGAGCUCACAUCGACGGGGAGGUUUGGCACCUCGAUGUCGGCUCAUCGCAUCCUGGGGCUGGAGCAGGUCCCAAGGGUAUGGCUGUUCGCCAUUUAAAGCGGUACGCGAGCUGGGUUCAGAACGUCGUGAGACAGUUCGGUCCCUAUCUGCCGUGGGCGUAAGAAGAUUGAAGAGAUUUGACCCUAGUACGAGAGGACCGGGUUGAACAAACCACUGGUGUAGCUGUUGUUCUGCCAAGAGCAUCGCAGCGUAGCUAAGUUUGGAAAGGAUAAACGCUGAAAGCAUCUAAGCGUGAAGCCAACUCUAAGAUGAAUCUUCUCUAAGCUCUCUAGAAGACUACUAGUUUGAUAGGCUGGGUGUGUAAUGGAUGAAAGUCCUUUAGCUGACCAGUACUAAUAGAGCGUUUGGCUUAUCUUUAAUAAAGCAU
rnacentral:rRNA from 1 species